GUUGGGUUUCUGCAGUCCUGGAGUGUUCCUGCAUGGUGGUUAUCGCUUCUGGAGGAGCGAGGUGACAGAAGCCCCUUGAAAUGAAAUAUCUGGGUUCCUAUUAGCGGUAUCUCUAGAAAGAAGUUAUGGAGCAUUGUGUCUGCCAAAUGCAGUGCUGCAGCAGCCCUGGCCUGUCCUUCCCAGCCCUCAGCACGGAGCCCCAGCCCUGCCCAGCCCACCAACAGGGCACAGGCAGCAGCAGGAGCAGCAGCAGGACUCUGAUGUGCAGGAGAUGCUCUCAGGAGAACUGGGCUGGAACGUGCCCUGGCACUGCGAGGAUCCCUGUUAGUGGUACCACUGGAGGAAGAGCAGUAAUUAUUCCUAAAAUCCAGGCUGUGGAGUGUUUUGGGAGGGAAGAGAGUAUACUCUUGCUCUCCUGAGUACGAGAAAAUUGAAUUGCUUGGAAAGCACUGGGAUAUCAUUGUUUUCUGCCUCAUGUAAAGCUGAUCUGCAAGGCCUCUCUGGAGGGCCUGCACGGAUAAUUGCCUCACUAAUGAACGUGGGACUCCAGCACAGGACCCUUCCAUGGGACCCAAGGAGCUCAUACAUCCCUCCCCACGGUGACAGGGGAUCAUCCUGGAGCUGCUCCCAUGAAGUGCUCUGACCUCUCUUUAUUUCUUGCCCCAAAAAGGGGGCAAACGAUCUCAGAAAUGGAGGGACUUCAAAAAGACAAAUGUGGGGAUUUGCCAGUUUUUGCUGCUGGGGGUUCAUGAUGGGGCAGAGGAGAUGUACCCCUGCUGCCCUGCUCUCUUCCUGUCCCCUGAGGACCCAUAGGUUCCAGCUUGUCCUUUCUAUGUUGGUCUGGAGUGAUGCUGGGAUAUCCAGCCGGCGUCAUCGGAUGUGCAGGGCUCUUUGGGGACUUAAAUCACAGCUCUGUCCUCUGCGUGGAGACAAAUGACAUCCUGCAGCGCAGGUGCUUUACAAAGAACAAUAAAUGGAAAGCUCUUGGCUGGGCUCAGCGAUAGGGCCAGGAUCCUCUUUCACAGAGGAUUUUAGGGCUCAAGGCACCACAGCUGUUUGUGGGAUAAUCCUUCUGCCCUCCUCCUCAACCUUGAAAAAGAACUUCGCAGUCCCACUCAAACUGGAAAUAAAUCAGGAAAUGGCACUUUGUUCUUUCCAGAAAUAGGCUGGCUUUCCAAACCCUUUGAAACAGGCACCCGAGACGAGUCUGCUAGGGAACAAACUUCAUUCAGCCUGGUUGCAACAAAGUCUGUUCGUAAGUAAAAGCAGGACUCACAUGCUGGUUUCAGGGCCUGCACUUGCAGGAGUCCCUGUGUGGGGGACUGCCCUGGGGCACCAGCAGCACGUCCUCUCCAUGCUGACUUCUCCAUCACAACAGCCUAUGGGUUCCCCAGUUGGUCUCCG
rnacentral:lncRNA from 7 species